UUGUGCAAAUGUGGUGGAGAUUUUAUAGCUAUUCUCCUUUUUAGAGUCCUCUAGAUUACCUAGGCAGGUUUGAGCCUUUCCCUUAAAGCCUAUUCCGGCUUUUUAAGGAGACAUCCUGGCCCCUUCUAAUUAAAAUAAGCAGCGUGUCACUUCCUGAGAGCUGCAGGAGGUACUUUGCUAGACCAAGUGCCAUCUUUUGUAGUCUAUCAGCUCUUUCCCUCGUUGACCCCGUAGACACAAGGGCUACCUCCUCUGCCCGGUCUUCCUAACGCGUAAGUCAGCUGGAGGCUCAGCCUGGUUGCUUGGAGACCAGUGUGCAGGGGAGUCGCCCUGGAGCUUGUGGGCACCUCUCUGAAGCACACCUGCCAAAACGCGGUCUCAGGUGCCUCUGAGAUAAGAACCUGGUGCUUGUCGGGACUUAAGGAGGUGUUACGGUGCCAGUAGGAGAUGGAUGAACACAUCUAGGGGGAACCGGGCCUGGUUUUGGUACCUGUUGUCCGUUGGACCAGAGGUGCUGCACGUGUUCCCAGGACCCGGCGUGACACAGAAGAGGCCUGCCAUGUCCCUCACCACACACGGAGCUGGCUGGCCGGAGGAACGUGCCCAAGGGGAGGCAGGACUGUUUCCUCCACACGUAAACGCACGGGUUCUUGCCAAGGACCGGGAGGUACGUGCUGCCUGGAGCUGCCGCGUCCUUGCGCUGUGCUGUGGGCAGCGGUGCUAUUCGCAGAGCGGGGACGAGAGCACGGGUUCGCUCUACCAAGUUAGCACUACUGGCGUUCCCCUUCACCACCUCUCCAGCCCUCCUCCAGGGCCACACCUUCUCCUAGACACGCGUUGCUCCCAUUCCCACCGAAAACGUCAACGACACGCACGUAGCACUGUCGUUUUCCCCUGCCACGCUGCUACCUUCCCGUGGCGGGUGGCUGAGGCGCUUCCUGAAGACCCGGGCAGGUUGCGGUAGCACGCAAUACCGGCCAAGUACGGGCUGCCUGCUCCCUUCUGCGUUCAGUGCCAUUCAUCCCGGCCAUGGGAGACAUCCAAAACAUCAAAUCAGUUCUGCUCCUGCCAAAUCGUCACUCUUUCCCAGGUAUUUUGCUACCACCUUGAAAUACCCCGUUCCCUAGGUUGAAGCCACCAGACGCGCUGGUGCAUUGCUUCCCCAGCAGCCUGGUAGUCUGUGAAUCAAGAGCGAGCAGACGCUCUCUUGGUUCACAUUCCCGUUCUAAACAAGCUGUAAAAGAUCAGCCUUACAGACUGCCACUCCGAAACGAACACUGCGAGCCAUCCGAUUCCAGCCAAAGCAUGUCUGGAAUGAACAUCCUUGGGUUGCCAUGGAGAUGCCCAAUGGGUAUCUCCAACUUUUCAGAGACCUGGCAGGAUGCCGGGGCAUCCUAAGCGACAGUGCUUUAGCACUGCUGAAAUACAUCCCCUUUGCUCCAGGAGACAGCAGCCCAAAACGUAGCCAGGAAAGACUUCUCUUUCGGAGAUGGAAUGGUCUCACCUGUGGAGCUGGGCUGUCUGUCUUCGCCAGUCGCUGCUCCCACCUCCACGUGAGCUGUUGAAAAUAGGAGCAAAUUUUAUUAGACUCGAUCCUAGAGCAGCUGACCAAAAACCGUAUUACGCUCUCCUUUCUGCCAUAUGAGCCUGUGCAGCUUCGGGAAGCUGAGCAGUGAAUGGCAUAACGCUGCAGGUCUGGCAAGACGCGCGGCACUUUAUUCCGAGCAGGAGAAAGUUCUGAUGAGGAAAUGAAAAAAGGGAAUAAAGCACAGUCAAGGCCAGCGUGUCGGACGAGGUAUUGGAGCCAGGCCCAAAGGGUUAAAGCAACCUGGAAAGCCUAAGAGGGUCCCUCAGGAUAGCUCUUGAGCAGACUCAAGUAAUGAAUUUUCACUUCUGUGCUUUCAUUAUCAUUGUUCUUAGCUGCAGAUUUACCAUUUGUCCCCCUCAGCUCUGCGGCACAUUAUUCGUGUCAUUGAGACAGUUGCAAGGACAGUGCUUUCGUUCGGCUUUUCUGCUACAAGUGUGAUGGGCUCAGUUCCUGAGGGCUCCCGCUAAGCCUGAGCUCCGGGGGGGAGAAUUGUGCACGGGUUGUUACCCCAGCAAUGCUCUCCUGCUCUGCCCGCUCGCUCCUGCUGUCUCCUUUAGAUUGCCUGAAGAAGUCCCAGAUUUACCAUAGCUCCGGAACGGCCACUGUCCUCAGCAAAGCCCGUAAUUUGGCUUUUUCAAAGACGAACUGAGGACUAGCAACCGCCCUCAUUUCCCUGCUAAUCCAGCCAAACAUACAUAUCACGUUUAAAGGCAAGAGAAUGCGUGCUUGGAUUCGCAUUGCUAAAGUCAGUGGGAAGGAGCAUCAUUCACUUCAUCGCAAGCAAGAUUAGUCUUUUAUUUCAGAAAUAGAUUUUGUUAUAUCACGUAAAACACUUUUUGUGGGGUUAAGAGAAGAAUUUAAAAGUGCGUGACAGCACUGUAGGAGAAUGCGAGUGGCAGUGCUUGGCUGUGUCACAGCGUUGCUUCCGAAUCAGAUACUCUUUUUCAUAGUUCGUGCCAUUUAUUAUUUCCCUAGAAAUUACAGAGCUGGGGAGGCAACAUUGGUAAUUCAUAUAUCACACUUGUGUGCUUCACUUGGAGUUUAUGUACCCCUUGAGCGAGGUCAAUGACAGUAAUAUUAGUAUUCCCAAGAAUCCCAGAAAGCUGAAAAGCAGCAGGGGUAAGGCAGUUUCCUCUGUGAACUGAACCUUCCCAGAAUGCCAUACUGGAGGUUUUUAGGCAUCAGUCCCACCUCAUCUACUGAUAAAGCUGAUCCCAGGGUUGACUUACUUAGGUCAUCAGAUUUCCCUUCAUCUUCCUUUCCACAGCUCCAGCACAACCUGUAGGGAUAUCGUGACCGUCAGUUCACAGCAAGAUGCAUUUUACUCUUAGUGAGAGUCCUUUAUUAAUGGAAGUGUUUUGCAAUUGAAAGAUGCCCCAGUGUCCCCAUAUGGGACGAGGUAUUACUCAGAAGUGUUGUGAUUUUUUUUUUCUUCCCACAGGUCUGAGGUGACUAAGAUGCCCAUGUGGAAGUGAGAAGUUCUCUGAAAAAUAGGCAUUUUACUUCUUCCACCCAGUUUAUUUCAAUGUGGCUCUCAUUUCUGAGCAUGAUUUUCUUCUUUUUCAAGAUCUGCUGUGUCCGGCACGGGCGCUCCUGGCUGGGCUCUCCGUAUCGCUGCGGACAGCCCCACCACCCCGGGACUUCCCUGCCGAGCUGCUGGUGGCCACACGUGGUGGCACCUUUCGCCUUCUCCCUGCCCGGUGACGCCGGGGCUGCGCUGGGAGCGGUGCCUUCGGGCCGAGGGCUCGCCUCGCGCUCUGAUCUGGGUCGCUGCCAGCCAUGGGGUGAGUCAAGCGAGGGAAGACCCGCUCCGGCGGCACCGACGGCCGCCGCACGGCCAAGGAGAUGAGGAGCGGGCCCCGUUCGGCUGCGGAAAACCACGGUGCUGGAGAGGGGAGCAGAAAAAGGGGGCGAAGGAGAGAGAAACCAACGGUGAAACGCAAAGGAAAAUGCCGUAUCAAAGGCAGAAACUUGGCAGAAAGGCUGCGCGUCGGCUGCGAGGGGCUCGGCGCGGCGUGGAGCUGUGCAACGCCUGUGUUGGGGAAUUUUUAAUAUUCUGCCUUUGAAUCCUGCUUCGCUCCCUCCUUUCAGCUCACGCGGCCUAGCCUGGCCGUUCCUCGCGGAGCGGAAAGAGAUUUUCCUUGUGAAAAGACUUGGACAAACUUCAGGAACCUGCUUAACGCUCGUUCUGGUGGGAUCGAGCUUUGAGUAAAGAUUAAUUUCGACUGAACUUCAAAAUGUUUCAGGAAUCGGUUUACAACCAAAGGUGAUUGAAAGGCAUUAAUACCGCAAAGCACCACUGAAAAAAUAAAACGGAGCUUAUGCACGUUGAAACCCAAAGUCCAAGAAAGCGAAAUCUGUUUGACUUAAAGGGCGUGCGAGCGAGUGCCUCGGGGGUGGAGGCCGAGGGGCAGAGCCGUGCCGGCGGCUGCGGGAGCCCGGCGGCAGAGCUGCGCCGGGGGCCACAUCGCUGCUGCUGCUGCCGUCGCGGAGCCUCUCCCUGGGCGGCACGCUGAACCCGUUGGCUGAAAUACCUCGUUUCCUCUCCCAACAAAUGCACGGGACAGCUGUGAAGCUAUCAAGGUUAUAUCCCUGUGCACAAUAUACUUUUGCAGAAUAACUUUUGAACUCCUGCAAAUUGAAACUUGCAGCUGCACUCGUGCCCCUGUUUUAUCGUACCGCUGAGGAGCCCCUGCUCCAGCGCACGCCUCGAGCACCGCAGAGCAUCUUUCAGCCCGGGAUGUCUUCUCCUAGCGCAAGUCAGGCACCGUUUAAAACGGUGAAACGUGGUGGCGGGGUCAUCAGGAGAUGCCGUAAGCCAUCGUGCUGCUAGGGUUGGAGCCGGCGUCUACUUGAAAUCUUGACCCCGUAAAGCAAUAGCGACUGCGGUUCACCUUACUGCGCCCCUUCACUGGGCUCUUUCCAAAGGGAUGGGUGUUUUCCCACCACGAGUUACUUAAUGUAUUAAAAAAAAAAGAUGAACUCCGAUUGCCACCUCAGCGGAUGGAGCUGCAGUGCACGGGGCUGGUGACAGCGCGGAGGUGCGCUGUUGCCCAAACUGCUCGCUUUUCGGUAGAAAUUGCCAAGGAAGUCAAUUCCACAGGAAAAGCAAUAUUGGAUAACUCGGGAACGGGCACAAACGAUUAAGCGGUGCUAUAAGUGAUGCAGAUGGGGCCAAUUUUUUCUCCGCACUCAGAUACCCGGGGCAGGCGCUCGGCUGGUAGAGACGCCUCCGCCUGCCUCGAUGCCGAUGAAUCCCCCCGCAUCGGCAACGCUGCGGCGUUGCCCCGGGGAGGGCCGGAUCCUGCUCGCCCAGUGUUGCCGCCUCCGGGCGCCGGGGCAGCCUCUGGGCCGGCAAAGCAAAAGCCGAAGCAGCGCGCGGGGUCUGCUGGCAUGUGCCGCCCGCCGGAGCCCAGCGCGGCCCGAACGCCCGUCCUCCCGCCGCGCUGCAAAUCUAUAGGUGUAUAUAGGGGGCGAGGGGAGGGAAGGGUGCUCCGCAGCCCGUCCGCUUGCCGUUACCUCCUGGCCAGGGCGACGCAGCGGCUCCAGGCGUUGCCCAUGCGGGUGCUGCGCGGCGGGCGGAGGCAGCGGGAGCCAGCGCGCGCCGUCGCCCCGGCACCGAUCUUUGUACCGUGGGCAGCGCCGCCCGCCCGCGCUUGCGAAAGGGAAGGUGGGGUUACCUGGCCGGGGUGGCAGCGACGCGGCUUUUUGUUUCCUCCUGGGCGCGGGGCGGCUGGGGCGAGCGUAGCAGGGAGCAGCGCGGCGGCAUCGGCGCAACGAGCUGUGGCAGGUUCUCAGCCUUCCCCGCCGGGAAGGGAAAGGAAAACCGAAAGCGGCUUCCGCGGGUGGUGGCAGCUGCAGGUCCGCAGGGAGCAGGCACUGCCUCGUGCAGGCUGUGGCCGCGUUUAAAGUGCGCUGGGGCUAUCGGCAGGGCCGGCUUCCCGCAGAUGCCCCGGCAAACACACCGCGCCGCUGGCGGAGGGCUGCGAGGAGCUAUGUGUGCAUUGCUUAGCGCCUUCCUAAGCUUCCCGUGGCUUAUAGCUAAGGAAGCAACAUCUGGAGACCUUUACUGCUCGGCCCGGCUUGCAGCACAGCUGGGAUGGGUUGCACCAGGGCACGGUGCGGUGAAGCCCAGCGUCCUUCUCGCAGGCCCUCAGAAAUGGUCUCCAGGUCCAUCAGGGCUGGGAAACGUCUCGCUCCCUGGGGACACGCGUGGCCCGUUACAGAAAUUGGGAUGAAACUCAUAGGCGUUGGGAGAGAGCAGGCUGCUGCAGCAGCCCCGCGGCAAGGGGCCUCCGGGAAGCAGCUCUGCCCGCUGCUGGAGCAGGGCCGUCCCAGUGCCCCAUGGCAUCGUCUGGGGGGAACCGUGCGUUAUCCAGCUGCUAGAACAGGGGUGAGAGCUCCCCGCUCUUACCGCUCCGUCCUGCUCUGACGUCGCGUUAGUCAGAAAGAGGUCGGCUUUGCACGCGCAGAGCCGCCGAGGCCGGGCCUGGCGGGUUGCCCGGCUUUGGGCUGACGCGCCCGGGCUGGGACGGCCCGUAGGCUGCUGGGGGGCUGCUGGGGGGCUGCGCACCUCCCCUCGCCGCCAGCCGCGCACGCCUGCUCUCAGCCAGGGUACACGCGUGCGGGCCGUGAGCAUCCCGAGGACCAGCUUCCGGACGGGGUCUGCCGAAAAUAAAGCCGGGUGAGCUGAGCUUGCGACGCUGGAAGUCCGUUACAUGCAUUUCUGGAGAAAAGCUUCCUACGUUAUCCUGGAGUCAUCACAGCUCCUCCGCGAAGGCGGUCGGGGUUUCGCGGCGGAGGGUUUGCAACGGCGGCGCUGGCGAAGUUUGGGGGUCACCAGCGCUGUGGUGGGCCCAUCCCGCGCGGGGCUCUUCAGCACCGCGCUGCCUCCCCGCGCCGAGCCCAGCGCUGCCGCUUGCUGACCUCCAGAGGUCGGCGGGAGAAGGCUGCCGGUGGCCCGGACGGACGGAUGGACGGACGGACGGAUGGACGUGGGCCUGACGGACUCAGCCGUCCCUAGGGGAAUCGCCGCUGCAGCCGGAGCACUCACCUCCUUGCUCCGUUCCCCAGCGAGCGCAGCGGUGCCGGUCCUCCCGGGCCGGUGCGGCACGCUCGUGCUCCGUUUUCAGAAUUACCCUGGGGAAAAGUGUCACGUUUUCAGGAAAGCUCAGAGCAGGAUGAGAAUUUUUUUUUUGUUAUAUUUUUUAAUUUCAAAUCUUGCUUGAAAGCGUUUCUCUGCAUUUUACUUUCUUUGCUGCAGAUGCUCUGACUCCACAGAGCCGGCGGAGAUCCGGAGCUGGAGAGUUUCUGCCCCUGUAGUCCUCGGAUUCGUCCAUCUGACAGGAACGAAAGCUGAAGCCUAGUUAGAAGACAAUAAAAAGCGGCCAUCUGUUUUCA